ACAGAGUCUCUCACUGGGACCUGGGGCUGCCAACUAGGCUAGGCUCUCCAUCCAAGAAAUCCAGGAACCCACUCGUCCCUGCCUCCCCAGAACUGAGAUUAUGAACCUUGUUUGGCCCCGGAUAACAGAAACUGCAGAACACAGACCCUUUAAUAAGAAAGAACCACCACACUGAGAAUCGAUGCCGUUGUCUUGCUCGGGAGUGCCUGCUACUACGUGUACACUCAACCCUAUACUGAACCCUCUACAGACACUACCUCAGGGAAUCCACCCCAGCAACCAUUUGAAUCAGGUAUUAGCUUCAUUUAUAGAUGGGGAAACCAAGUCACAGAAGUGCUAAUAAACUCGCCCAGGUUCAUCUAGCACAGCCUUUUACACCAAUGCCUAUCCUUAACCUUUCUGUGCUCUUCUAAUACCCUGCCUCCAUCUGUCUGGUUAUAGACAUCCUCAGGCAGUGGUGAGGGAUGCUAAUUACCCUGAAUCUACACACAGUCCUUCAAUCCUUAAACUUGGAAGGGGAAGAGCCCUCCUGGGAUGCUCAUGUCCCAGGGCAUCGAACGGUGUUUGCGGGGCCAGACAGCCACCACGAAGAGCAGGAACGAGCAGCAGGAAGCCCAGUGGAAGCUGCUCUCCCAGGGAAGCCAGGCCUGGGUGGAUUUGCUGGGACAUGACAUCCAGCAGGGCACAGACCACUCCCCAACUCAGGGCGGCCCAUCCAGCAGUGCACUGUUCAGACAGUUGUAGAGGUAAAUAUACUGCUCCUGCGGGUAGAUGUGGACAAGCUAUGUCACCUGCUUGCCCAAACCUGACAGAAAAAGUUUCCCAGGGCUCUCCUGACCCCUAGUCCAGCUAGAGAGGGCAUGGUGGUCCACAGAGCCACCUGGUGGAGACCUGAAUGGGGUUACCUAACUGUCAUCUGUAGCUGGGACAGACCCUUCCCGUCUUUGAUCCCUUCCAUGGUGAGCCCCUCCCUGUCCGCUUCUCACCAGCGUUGGGGUCAUGAGGUCACAGGCCUGCGACUGCUUCAGGGCCACAUUGAAGACGUCCACGGUGCACUCAGUCCCCGCUUGCUGGAGCAGCUGCUCCAGAGCCAAGAAGGUGCCCAGCUGAUUUGUGCCCUUGCUGUAAUUGACCUAGAGAGUUAGAUGUGGGACCUCUGGGAAUGGGGCAGCAUCUGGGGACACGUGGAUACCAAAUUUAGUUCUAAGGACUGGGAAAGAACGCUAGGUACUUAGUUAACCAGCUGGGUUAGAACCCUACCCAAUCCCUGGGGAUGGAGCAGAGAAGACAGGGGCCUUGGGAGACUACACUUUGACCCAUAACCCAGUUGACACGUGGCGUUUGUCCACAGCACCUGGAGUGGCUGAGCAGGGUCCCUGGCUUCUUGCUCUUGCCCCGAGAACAGCACUGGCCCACAGCAUCCAGGAAGGGCAGCAGGGUGGUAGCUGGGAGCUCGCACCCAGACUCCCAGCAUGGGAACUGUAAGCGUUGAACCUGCCUCUCUGUUCCACUCUCUCCCUGAAGCAAGAGCAAGAUCAACGUUGG